UUAAGUCCCGCAACGAGCGCAACCCUUAUCUUUAAUUGCCAGCAUUCAGUUGGGCACUUUAAGAGACUGCCGGUGUUAAACCGGAGGAAGGUGGGAUGACGUCAAGUCCUCAUGGCCUUUAUGCUUAGGGCUACACACGUGCUACAAUGGGUGGUACAAAGAGAAGCCAACUCGCGAGAGCGCGCCAAUCUCAAAAAGCCAUCCUCAGUUCGGAUUGGAGUCUGCAACUCGACUCCAUGAAGUUGGAAUCGCUAGUAAUCGCGGAUCAGCAUGCCCGCGGUCGAAUACGUUCCGGGCCUU
rnacentral:rRNA from 1 species